UUUUUUUUUUUUUUUUUUUGAGAUGUAGUUUCCCUCUUAUUGCCCAGGCUGGAGUGCAGUGGCACAAUCUCAGCUCACCACAACCUCCGUUUCCCCGGUUCAAGCGAUUCUCCUGCCUCAGCCUCCUGAGUAGCUGGGAUUACAGGCAGGCGCCACAAUGCCCGGCUAAUUUUGUAUUUUUAGUAGAAAUGGAGUCUCUCCAUGUUGAUCAGGCUGGUCUCGAACUCCCCACCUCAGGUGAUCCGCCCGCCUUGGCCUCCCAAAGUGCUGGGAUUACAGGCGUGAGCCACUGUGCCCAGCCAAGUUGUUAUUAUCUAAGGACCUGAAAUCAAUAGAAAGGAAUUGUCUGGGUUAAGAUAAGGGGUUGUGGAGACCAAGAUUCUGAGGUGGGAGGCAGGACUUGACUCCAGAGGUGGGGCUAGGACACUAGACCAGUUGAAGGCUAGCUAAAAACAGGUCGGGGUGCGGGGUGGGGUGGGGGGCAGAAGCACCUUCUCAUAAGACACACCCACCAGUGUGCCAAGUCAGUUGACCAUUGCCAUGGCAACACCUGGAGGUUACUGCCCCUUUCCAUGGCAACGACCUGACAACUGGGAAGCUAUCACCCUCAUUCUAGAAAUUUCUGCAUAACUCCUUUAAUUUGCAUAUAAUUAGAAGUGGGUAUGAGUGCAGACCUGCCUCUGAGCUGCUACUCUGGGCACACUGCCUAUGCGGUAACCCUGGUCUGCAAGGAGGAGGACCUCCGCUGCUGCUGGUACACUGGUGCUUCAAUACCAACCUGGCCAACAUGGUGAAACCUCGUCUCUACUAAAAGUACAAAAAUUAGCCAGGCAUGGUGUGUGCCUGUAAUCCCAGCUAAUCAGGAGGCUGCGGCAGGAGAAUCACUUGAACCCGGGAGGCGGAGGUUGCAGUGAGCCCAGAUAGUGCCAUUGCACUCCAGCCUGGGUGACAAAGUGAGGCUCUGUCUCAAAAAAAUAAAUAAAUAAAAAAGAUAACAUAACUCUUUCAACCAAUUUCCAGUCAGAAAAUCUUUCAAUCCACCUAUGACCUGGAAGCUGCUGCCUUGAGUUGUCCCACCUUUUCAGGCUGAAUUGACGCACACCUGACACGUAUUGAUUGGUAUCUGUGUAACUUCUGUCACCCUAAAACGUAUAAAAUCAAGCUGUGGCCCGAGCACCUUGGGCCCAUGUUCACAGGACCUCCUGGGGCUGUGUCGUGGGCCUUGGUCACUCAUUUCACUCAGAAUAAACCUUUUUAACUAUGUUACACUUUAGCCCUUUUUGUCGACAGCCUCCUGUCACUUUCCCUUGAGAAGACGCUGUUUUCGAGAAUACUCCCAGUACCUGCCUUUCUUGUGCCAACUAAGAACACUCCUAUUCAUCAUAACCUGCAUUCUCACGGAGGGUCGCUUGUUACUCACCAGGCAAACAAACCCUGGCUUUCCAGGUAACAGUCGGCCCUCUGUAUCCACAGAUUCCACCUCUGCCAUUAUAGAGGGCUAAGUAUAUGUAAAACCUGUCAUUUAGAGCCAUGUGAUUUAAAGAAAAAUAUCUCACUCAUGGAUUUGAUGGGUACUGAUAUGCACUUGGCUAUAAGCUAUUGGUGUAUCCACAAGCUCAUUGGAACAGAAACCCAACUAUUACAACAGACCCUGAAAUUUUGUGAGCUCUCAAAAAUUUCUGCUCAAAAAAUAGAUUCUCACUUUCUGCUUAAUUUUUCCGUAAAUCUAAAAUUUCUCUUAAAAUGAAGUCUAUUAAUUGAAAAAAUAUAUACUCUGGAAAUGGGCAAUGUUGUCUUUAAGAAAAACUUGUAGUCGGUGUGUUUGUUGUUAAGCAGUUACAAAAUUUAAGUUAUAGCAUUUCUGAUUUCGAUUCUUAGAAACAAAACUAGAUUUGUUUUGCUUUAGAAAGAAUGUAAGGAAAGCUAAUUUGUGAAGUAAGUACUUCCUAAAAUGAAGAUGAAUUCCUGUUUAGAUAAACCAGGAGAGGAAGUUAAACUGAGUGAGUGUGGGAAGAAAAAAAAAAAGAUUCCUUUGAGAGAUGCGCCUUUUGAGCAUAAUUGAAAGUGACUGAGAUGUACAAUAACGAGGGAACCAGGCAAUAAUUCAUUAAUGGAGCAGCAGCAUUACUCUAAACAAAUAUUUGCUUUUACAUAAUUAACCAAACUAAAAUGAUCUGAAUGGAAAAGUAGUUUACAGUAACCAAAACAGCAUGGUACUGGUACCAAAACAGAGAUAUAGAUCAAUGGAACAGAACAGAGCCCUCAGAAAUAACGCCGCAUAUCUACAACUAUCUGAUCUUUGACAAACCUGAGAAAAACAAGCAAUGGGGAAAGGAUUCCCUAUUUAAUAAAUGGUGCUGGGAAAACUGGCUAGCCAUAUGUAGAAAGCUGAAACUGGAUCCCUUCCUUACACCUCAUACAAAAAUCAAUUCAAGAUGGAUUAAAGACUUAAACGUUAGACUUAAAACCAUAAAAACCCUAGAAGAAAACCUAGGCAAUACCAUUCAGGACAUAGGCAUGGGCAAGGACUUCAUGUCUAAAACACCAAAAGCAAUGGCAACAAAAGACAAAAUUGACAAAUGGGAUCUAAUUAAAUUAAAGAGCUUCUGUACAGCAAAAGAAACUACCAUCAGAGUGAUGAACAGGCAACCUACAAAAUGGGAGAAAAUUUUCGCAACCUACUCAUCUGACAAAGGGCUAAUAUCCAGAAUCUACAAUGAACUCAAACAAAUUUACAAAAAAAAAACAAACAACCCCAUCAAAAAGUGGGCAAAGGACAUGAACAGACACUUCUCAAAAGAAGACAUUUAUGCAGCCAAAAAACACAUGAAAAAAUGCUCAUCAUCACUGGCCAUCAGAGAAAUGCAAAUCAAAACCACAAUGAGAUACCAUCUCACACCAGUUAGAAUGGCAAUCAUUAAAAAGUCAGGAAACAACAGGUGCUGGAGAGAAUGUGGAGAAAUAGGAACACUUUUACACUGUUGGUGGGACUGUAAACUAGUUCAACCAUUGUGGAAGUCAGUGUGGCGAUUCCUCAGAGAUCUAGAACUAGAAAUACCAUUCGACCCAGCCAUCCCAUUACUGGGUAUAUACCCAAAGGACUGUAAAUCAUGCUGCUAUAAAGACACAUGCACACGUACGUUUAUUGCGGCACUAUUCACAAUAGCAAAGACUUGGAACCAACCCAAAUGUCCAACAAUGAUAGACUGGAUUAAGAAAAUGUGGCACAUAUACACCAUGGAAUACUAUGCAGCCAUAAAAAAUGAUGAGUUCAUGUCCUUUGUAGGGACAUGGAUGAAAUUGGAAAUCAUCAUUCUCAGUAAACUAUCACAAGAACAAAAAACCAAACACCACAUAUUCUCGCUCAUAGGUGGGAACUGAACAAUGAGAUCACAUGGACACAGGAAGGGGAACAUCACACUCUGGGGACUGUUGUGGGGUGGGGGGAGGGGGGAGGGAUAGCACUGGGAGAUAUACCUAAUGCUAGAUGACGAGUUAGUGGGUGCAGCGCACCAGCAUGGCACAUGUAUACAUAUGUAACUAACCUGCACAAUGUGCACAGGUACCCUAAAACUUAAAGGAUAAUAAUAAAAGAAAAAAAAAAAGAAAAGUAGUUUGGAGUAUUAACUAUGUACAUGAUUACUCUCAAGCAGAUUACAGGCAUAAAUGGCGGUUGUAUUUCACAUAACUGCACAUCAAUAGCUUUCAAAAGAAUCUCAACCCUCCACUGACCACAGUUCAGACAGAUUUUCCAUUUAGAUGCCUGUUUGAUGCCUCAAGGCCUUAGACAUUGCCAGAAAUGACAAAUGACAGUUGUCCUGGAUAUUUCUAGGAACACCAGCUAUUAUGCUCAGAAUGUUAUAAUAACUCUUCUAUUUAUUACCUACAGCUAAAAAUCUAAUGAUGGUUAUUUUAUAGUGUCUCUGGAAAUUGGAAAGGUAAUCAUGACCUCGAACUUCUACAAACAGAGUGGGGGGAGACUUAAAAGAAAAGGGCUUGAAUUAUAUAAUUAAUAAAUAUCAAUUUUUAAGCAUAAAAGCCAUUGGGUUUUUUAUUAUUUUGGUAGUGUUAGGUACAUAGCUAUAAGAAGGUAUCCCAAGCCCGUUUUCUCCUCCCAGUCCUGUGUCCUAAAGUUUUCCUGAUGUGUCAAUAGAGUGUCACUAUAGCCCUGUGAAUUAGUAGAUAUCGCUCUAAUGAGAUAUUUACGCAGGAUGAAGUUGGGAGAAAGUAAAGGAAUGCCUAAGCCAGAGAUCUCUGCCAAGAUUCACACCAGCACCUUUCAAAACUUUGCAGCCUAUGAAGAGCCAAAUAUUGCAUAAUCCAGAUCAUGUUUUCCAAUAUUGUCAAUGGAAAAUCCUAAAGUAAGAGAUUCUCAGAAUCAGAGAUACUACUUCAACCCAGAUUCUUGUCUCAGUGCAGGUCGUAAAGACAAACAGGCUUGACUCUGACUUGGUACUUUCUUCUAAGUUCCUAAGCUAUAACAUAAAUAUGCAAUACUAGAAGGUCAUAAUUAUUCACAAUAAAAUGUCAAUGCAUUUAUUUAUUAAUAUGCUUCAUUUCAGACAGAAUUAACAAUCUUAUUCUUCUAACAUAUAGCACUUAGUGAGCCCAAUGAAUAAACUCUUGAGAGAACCUUAAUCAGACUCUGACUAAAUACAUGUUUUGGCAGAUGUCUUAGUCCAUUUUCUGCUGCUAUAAUGGACUGUCACCAACUUGGUAAUUUAUAAAGAAUAGCAGUGGCUGCUGGGUGCAGUGGCUCAUGCCUGUAAUCCCAGCACUUUGGGAGGCCGAGGUGGGUGGAUCACGAGGUCAGGAGAUCAAGACUAUCCUGUCUAACAUGGUGAAACCCCAUCUCUACUAAAAGUACAAAAAAUUAGCCGGGCAUGGUGGCGGGUGCCUGUAGUCCCAGCUACCGGGAGGCUGAGGCAGGAGAAUGGCGUGAACCCAGGAGGUGGAGCUUGCAGUGAGCCCAGAUCAUGCCACUGUGCUCCAUCCUGGGCAACAGUGCAAGACUCCAUCUCAAAAUAUAUAAAUAAAUUUAAUUUAAUUUAAAAAGAAUAGCAAUUUAUUUGACUCACAGUUCUGGAGGCUAGAAAGCCUAAGAACAUGGUGUCAGAAUCUGGCAAGGACCUUCUUGCUGCAUCAACCCAUGGCAGAAGGGCAAGCAAGCACACAAAACAGAGACAGAAAAUGGAGACCUAACUCCCACGACAGCUAAGCCACUCCCAUGAUAACGUCAAUCUAUUCACAAGGGCCAAGCCCUCAUGACCUAAUUACCCUUUAAAGGUCCCAUCUCUUAAUACUAUCAUGAUGGCAAUUAAAUUUCAAUAAGGGUUUUGGAGGAGACAUUCAAACCAUAGCAGCAGGUAUGAGCAGGUUUAAGUCAGAAGUCCAUUGCUAGCUAUGACUUACUGACGGGAGCCAUUGAAACAGUUAAACACCUAGGAAACUACCUUCUUUUGACUCUUCAAGACAUUUUGUACCAGAUUAUAUUGGAUUAUACGUAGGGUGGAAGCAGGUUUUCGCAUGCCCUCACUUACAGUACAUAUUUCCUAUGUUAGGCUCUUCUGUGAAAACUUCUUGUUAAUUUUUCAAAUCUGAUACUUACUGAGUACCUCUACAUUUUUGCACUUCUCAUUUCCAGUAAUCCAUUUUAUCUCUGAUUAUUUCUGUUUGUCUUGGUUACUGCAGUUUUAUUGUAACCUUGCAGUCUAUUUGAUCUUUUCACUAAUAUUUCCUAGUCUUUUUUACUCAUUUUCUAUGAAUUCUAACUCAUGCUUCAGCUACUUUGGUACCCCUUUAAAUUCUUCAGUUUCUAAUGAGCUUUCCAAAAUUCCUAAGGAUAGCUAAGUAAUUAAACGUUGAAAAAAGUGCCUUUAAUUGUUAUAAACAAUCACUGUUAUGUCACCUAUUAAAUGUAAACAUUUCCAUAAGUACCAGUGUAGUUUUUUCUUGAUCACUGGAGACUUGCCCAUUUGUGAGCUAGAGUGAUCACGUGAAAACCUCAACAACUAAACCAUUUCCCAUUUUACGAUUUUGUUUUUUGUGAAAUUUUUUUAAAUUAUUAGAUUAUAAACUAUAUCAGACAUACCAAAAAGUAUAAGCAUUUUAUAUGAAGAAAUUUCAUAAGAGUAGUCUCUUGUUACUCUUUUUAUCAUCUUACACUGAAUGACCUUCUUAUUUUUUCUAUUUAAAAGGUUUGGGAGCCAAAUGCUUUUGUGGGGGUAUUAAAUAAAAUGUAUCGGAGGCCAUUGGUUUUGACUGAGCUCCUAUACUAAGUCCAACAGACCAAACCAAAAUGGAGUCACUCAUGCUACAGGCCCACAUCAUCAAGACAAAACUAAGUUGUUUAUCUGACCUUCCAAGAAAUCAGGAGAGUGAGACAUAAUAGCCAAAUCCCCAAACAACCCAAUUUUAGCUGGUAUAAUAAGGAAGUCCACUCUGCUUUAAUCUUUACGAGGAAAGUAACUCUGAAACAACCAGUCUACCUUUUAUUUUCUAUUUCUGCUUUCCUCAGCCAUUUUCUGCCUACCACCACCUCUGCUCAGCAACUCAGAGCACUCAUUCUAUUUUGUAGGAUGAGGUGUUACCUUACUCUAGAAUGGCAAAUAAAAACCAAUUAAGGUCUCUAAAUUUGUUGUAAUUUUGUCUUUUGUCUUUUGAUGGGGGUUAGCCACUUUUGUAUCCUCUGAUAAUAUUUUAUUGUAUACAACUUGUACACCUGUACACCAUUCUCCUUCAUUUGUUUACAAAUAUGGCAAUUUUUUCUUCAUGUCAAAAGUAUCUACAUCCAUUGUAAAAAAAAAUUUAGGUAAUUUGGAUGAACAGAAAAGAAGAAAAAUAAUAUAAAAACCAUACAAAAUUCUACCACCUUGAGAUGUUUCUUUUUUGUAUAUUUCCUUUUGUGUAACCAGGGAGGAGGCCUACACUGCUUAUUUCUCCUUAUAAAGGAAUUUCCACUCAUAUAACUCCUGUUGCUAAUGCUGCCUUAUUUUGUGCCACGUGGCCCCAUUCCACAAGUCACACAAAUCACACUGACGAUGAAAACCCUACCUAUAUUAGUCAAGGUUUAGUCAAGAAAACAGACACCACCCUAGACUUUUCAAACCAAAUAAAGAGGAACGUUAAUAAGGAAAUUGGUUACACAGGAAAUGGAAAAGCUGAGAAGCCAAACACAGGAUGAGAUGAUGAGGCCACUGAGAGGUCGGCAACAGCCAAAAGCAACUGCCACCCUGGAACUAAAGGGUCAACGGGAUGAGGUAGUUUCAUCAGAGCACAGAAGUUGAGGCCAAACAGAAAGAGCCAGAACUAAGGAGAGGGUAUUUCCCCCGCAGGAGCUGGAACCACAGAGAGAGCGUUUGGUUGGGAGGAAUUGGAGACACACAAGAAAAGCUGUCACGGAAAACAGAGAAAUAGGGGGCAAUAUCCUAGGCUUUCCCCUCCUCCCACCCUCCAGUCAUCUGCUAUCAUCUUUCUGUGGCCAAACUUACCCAAAAGACUUCAGGCAAAGGAAAUGAUGGGAGGUGGGGUGGGAUGGGAGCAAAGCACAGGCAACUGGCCAACAAUUGUCUAAGAGUAGCCCCUGAAGUGACUGGCCACACAUCACCUAUGGCGUAGUCUUGCUAAAAAUGUUUAAGCUGAAUCUAAUCAUGAGGAAACAAUCAGGCAAAUCCAUAUUGAAAGACAUUGUACUAAACAACCAGCCUAGACUCUCCAAAAUGUCAAUGUCCUAAAAGACAAAAGAGGACAGAGAACUUAUCUAAAUUAAAUAACAUUAGGGAGGCUCACGCCUGUAAUCCCAACACUUUGGGAGGCAGAGGCAGGAGGAUCACUUGAGCCCAGGAAUUCAAGACCAGCCCGGGCAACAUAGUGAGACCCCAUCUCUAUAUACAAGAAAAAUCAAAAAAUGAGGCGGGAGGAUCACUUGAACCCAGGAGGUCAAGGCUGCAAUGAGCCAUGAUCAAGCCACUGCAUUCCUAUCUGGGCAAGGGAGUGAGAUCCUCCUGUCUUUCAAAAAAACAGAAUAUUAGGGGGACAUGGCAACUAAUUUUGAUGUGUGAUCACAGAUUAAGUAUUGGAUCAAAAAAGAAUGGUAUAUAAAGGACACGACGGGGCAAUUGUGGAAAUAUGAAUAUAGUUAGUACACUAGAUGAUAGUUGUAUAGAAAUGUUAAAUUUCUUGAGUGUGGUAAUUUGGUUGUGGUUAUGUAAGAGAAUGCCCUUGUUCUCAGCAGAUAUAUGCUAAAGUAUUUAAAGGUAAAAUGUCAUGAUGUCUUCAACCAACUCCAUAUAUAUAUGCUUGGAGAAAGAAUGUGUGAUCAAACAAAUGUGGCCAACGUUAAAACUGGUGAAUCUAAGUGAAGCGUCUAUAGGCAUUCAUGGUACUGUUCUUACAACUAUCCCAAAGGCAUUUUUUUUUUUUUCAGAUGGAGUCUUACUCUGUUGCCCAGGCUAGAGUACAGUGGCACGAUCUCGGCUCAUUGCAACUUCUACCCGCAGGGUUCAAGCGAUUCUCCUGCCUCAGCCUCCCAAGUAGCUGGGAUUACAGGCACCUGACACUGCACCCGGCUAAUUUUUGUAUUUUUAGUAGAGACGGGGUUUCACCAUGUUGGCCAGGCUGGUCUUGAACUCCUGACCUCGUGAUCCACCCGCCUUGGCCUCCCAAAGUGUUGGGAUUACAGGCAUGAGCCACUGGGCCCAGACCCUAAGGCUUUUCAAAAUAAAAACUCAGGAAAAAAAAAAAAAUAGGAUGGCCUCUGACCUCCGACCACUGACACGAGGUAAAGAGAUGAAUUAAACCAACUGUUCUUAGGAAUUUAAACCUAAACAAAAAGAAUUUGCUACUUAGCAAUAAAGUUGGAGGUGACAGAAAAACAUGUGGAGUUCGGCUAUAGCAAAUUAAAAUUACGUACACACCAAAAUUAUGAGGUGGAAGAAAAGAUAUGGCAAAUUGUUUGCAAAAAUAGUUGCCACAGAUGCUUCUCAUCUAGUAAGCAAUUCUCCCAUCAUGAGAUGAAAUCUAUGUCUCCCUGCGUUCUAGACUGGUCUUGUGACUUACUUUGACCAACAGAAUGCAGAGGUGACACGGUGCCAGUUCUUGACCACGAAGAGGCUUGACAUCUUGCACUUUCCUUCUCUUGGAGCCCUGAGCCACUGCAUAAAGAAGACCAACUGCCCAGGAAACAACAGAUGCUGGAGAGGAUGUGGAGAAACAGGAACACUUUUACACUGUUGGUGGGAGUGUAAUUAGUUCAAUCAUUGUGGAAGACAAUGUGGCAAUUCCUUAAGGAUCCAGAACCAGAAAUACCAUUUGACUCAGCAAUCCCAUUACUGGGUAUAUACCCCAAAGGAUUAUAAAUCAUUCUACUAUAAAGACACAUGCACACCUAUGUCUAUUGCAGCACUAGUCACAAUAGUAAUGACUUGGAACCAACCCAAAUGUCCAUCAAUGAUAGACUGGAUAAAGAAAAUGUGGCACAUAUACACCAUGGAAUAGUAUGCAGCCAUAAAAAAGGAUGAUUUCAUGUCCUUUGCAGGGACAUGGAUGGAGCUAGAAACCAUCAUUCUCAGCAAAGUAACACAGGAACAGAAAACCAAACACCGCAUGUUCUCACUCAUAACGGGGAGCUGAACAAUGAGAACACAUGGACACAGGGAGGGGAACAUCACACACUGGGGCCUGUUGGGGGGUGGGGGGCUAGGGGAGGGAUAGCAUUAGGAGAAAUACCUAAUGUAGGUGACCGGUUGAUGGGUGCAGCAAACCACCAUGGCACGUGUAUACCUAUGUAACAAAACUGCACGUUCUGCACAUGUACCCCAGAACUUAAAGUAUAAUAAAAAAAUAAUAAGAAGAAGACCGACUGCCUGCUGGAGAGAUUGGUCUGGCCAGUCUUUUGCUGUUCUAGACACCUCUGCUGAGCCACACAGUUUUCCACCAAUAUAUACAUCCCUAAACAACAUGACUUAGUUUUGAAACACUGAGCAGCAAGCACCAAUCUAGAAGAAUAAGGAAAGGGUGAUGUUACCACUGUUUGAGGAAGGCUCAGGAGGAGAAGAUAAACUGAACAGCCUCUCGGUCAUUGUCUGGCUUCAGCUUCCCUAAGCAUUUAUAAGAGCUUUUUAUGGGAAAAUCAUUGAGUAAGAUGAUGAGUAACACUGGGAAUCACUGGGCUCAGCACAGGUGAGACAUACGGUAACGCUGGAGAAUGGGCCGAGUUUUAGAUGUUUGGCCAGGAUAUAGUCAGAAGGAGAUGGCUGUUGUGUAUAUUCUGCUCAUCACGACUUCUCCUCCACUUCCCAGAAGAGGUCAAGGCAGAACAUUUCUGGAUGACACCCACAGUAGAUCAAGCAUCAGAGCACUCGAGGAAUGAGCAGGAACUUUAUCAGCAUGUGGUCAAAAUAAAGAAAGUACAAAGGAAAAAUCUGGGCCAGACUCUGGGUAUUGAGUCCUUGAUUUAAAAGUUAGCAUGAUGGCAGUGGGGAUGGUGGUGAUGGAAGCCCUCAGUGUGUCUCUCCCUGGAGUCCUGGUGUCCCACUUCUUCAGGCUGGACUUGUUUCCUUCUGCACCUAGUGCAUAACUGUCAUUCUGGACUCUCCCAUCACCCUUACCCUAGAGUCCCUUCACCACUCUCCUGUGUUUGAUUCCUACCUGUUGUGUCCCAUAUGUUCUUUCUUGGCUUGUCCUCUCAUUCAAGAAGCACAGCCUCCAGUAGCCCCUUAAGAAAGAACGCAUGGGAAGUAAAUCUUGCAUAUCUGAAAAUGCCCUUAUUUUACACUCAUAUUUGAUUGAUAAUUUAGCUGGGUGCAGAAUUCUAGGCUGGGAAUAGUUUUUCUUAAGAAUUUUGAAAAGCAUUGCUCUGGUGUCUCUUGCCUCUACCAUUGUUUAUUGAAGCCGGCAAAGCCAAAGCUGAUUCCCGAUCCUUUAUAUUUGAUCUUCGUAUGUACCCUCUCCCUUGCUCUCUAAGCUUUUAAGAUCUCUUGGACUUUGUUCUGAAACUCCAUGAUAACGUGCCUUGACAGGUCUUUUUUCAUCCGUUUCUCUGGGCACUUGAAGAACCCUUUCAAUCUGGAAACUCAUGUCCUUCUUGAGUUUUGAGUAAACUUUUCUGUAUGGUUUUAUUGAUGACUGCCUCUCCUACAUAUUCUUUUUCUCUCUUGAGCACCAAUUAUUCAAAUAUUGAACACACCGGUUUUUUUUUGUUUUUUUUUUUUUUUUGAGACAGAGUCUCCCUCUGUCGCCCAGGCUAGAGUGCAGUGGCGCGAUCUCGGCUCACUGCCAGCUCCGCCUCCCAGGUUCACACCAUUCUCCUGCCUCAGCCUCCCGAGUAGCUGGGACCACAGGUGCCCGCCACCACGCCCAGCUAAUUUUUUUUGUAUUUUUAGUAGAGACAGGGUUUCACCAUGUUAGCCAGGAUGGUCUCGAUCUCCUAACCUCGUGAUCCGCCCGUCUCGGCCUUCCAAAGUGCUGGGAUUACAGGCGUGAGCCACCGCACCCGGCCUGAACACGCCAGUCUUAAUCUCUAAUCUUCUGUAUCUUUUCUCUUCUAUUGUUCAUCUCCGUGUCUUCUUGGGCGAUUUCCUCAAGUUUAUCGUCCAACUCUUCUGUUACAUUUUUCAGGUCUACUCUCUUGCUUUAAUUUUUAAGGGCCCUUUUUUCUUCUCUUAAAAUUAUCAGGAUCUUAUUCUGUUCUUAUAACAUGGGUGCAAUCUAUUCUGUACCUUUCCAAGUAUAUUAAUAGUAGACUUUUAAAGUUUUUGUAUGCUUGUUUAUUCUAUGGGGUUGUUUUGUUUUUCUUUACUUUUGUUUUGGGCUUCAUAGUCAAUGUCUGAAGCAGCAUCUGAUUCUUCUUUGAAGAACUGCUGCCUCCCAUAUUCUCAAUCCAUGUGAGUGAAUGCAUCAUUUGCUAAUUCUUUCAACUUAAAUAAUAAACUUGCUUUAGUUUGGAUGUUUGUCUCCUUCAAAUCCCAUAUUGAAAUUUGAUCCCUAAUGUUGAAGGUCGGGCCCAGUGGGAGGUAUGUGGGUCAUGGGGGUGGGUCCCUCAUCAAUAAAUUAGUGCCUUCGCUCAAGGGUAAGUUCUUCCUCUGUUCAUUACCGGGAGAACUGAUUGUUAAAAAGAGCCUGGCACCGCCUCCACACCUUGCUUCCUCUCUCGCCAUGUGAUCUCCACACACGCUGGCUCCCCUUCACUUUCCACCAUUAGUAGAAGCAGCCUGAGGCCCUCACCUGAUGCAGAUGCCAGUGCCAUGCUUCUUGUAAAGCCAAAGACCCAUAAGCCAAAUUGGCCUCUUUUCUUUAGAAAUUACCCAGCCUCAGGUAUUCCUUUAUAGCAAUGCUAAAUGGACUAAGACAAUAAUUAACCUGCCUGAGCUUCAGUUUCUUCAUCCAUAAAAUGAGGAUGGACACAGAAUCUGUUUCACUAGGAUUGCCAAGAGAAUUUAGUGAAAUAAUACAGAGGACACAGAUUAUGUGUUCUUUUCUGGCUUAGGAAGGUUAAAUUGCUCAAAGUUACACAUCAAAUCAUGGGACUCAGACUCAUAAUCUGACACAUAAUCAAUAUUCAAUAAAUUUCAGCUAUCAUUAUUAUGACAUAGUUCAAAUGGGACUCACACCUCCUCUCAGUUAAAGAGAGGAGUACAUGAGCCAGACCUGGCCAAUGAGAUUCAGCCCUAGGAUUUUUGCUAGAAUGAUUUGAAAGGAAAUUCUCUUGUCCUGUUAGGUUAUCAAGUUGGUAAAGCACAAUCCCAGAGCUGCUGGUAGCUCUCUUUAACAAUGCUUUUAGAGGGUCUAUCUGAAAGUAAAGCCAAACCAAGAGACGGAAACAGAUUACUGAUGAUGAGGCUGGAUGCAGCCUUACCUGAAGGCACUGUGGCCCUGGACUUUCCAGUAUUAUGAAUCAAUAUCUUCCUUUUCUUUCUCUUAAGCCAUUUUUAGUUGAGUUUUCAUUACUUGCAACAGAAAGAAUCCCUUGUAAUACAAAAAAAUACUGUUUUGAAACUGUGUAUUUCACUGAAUGUAACAUUAUCAUAUGUUCAUGUUAUUAAAAUUAUUCUUCAACAUUA